ACUUGCACAGACACCACCAUGAACAAAGCCAUUACCCACACUGUCUACAGAGGAAAAGAACUUCUUUAAUCAGUUAACAGAGGAGGCUCACUGAUAUAAAAUAACUUUUGCCAGUGCCCUACUGGCAAGUUCUGAUACUAAAUGUGUGUAUUUCCUGUUUAGCACACUAUCGCCUUGGCUACUCACUUUAUAUCUUUCAGAAGCAGUAGCCAAUGUGUGGGUACAAAUAAGGGUGGGGAGAAGUGCUGAGACUUUUUGAGUUCUUAUUUAUAUUUGGUGAAAAUCCUUAUAUGGCAUGUAUUUAUUACUGUAGGCAGUUAGCCUUAUUGGCAAAGCUUAAUAAGAGUCAAAGGAUGUUAAGGACCAUUUGCCAUCAUGGUUGGUUUUGCAUGAACACUCAUCCCCUCCCUGUUGGUGAUGUGACAGCAGGAAGGAAGGAGGGAAGGUGUGCUAUGGGGCCAGGCUCCAAGUUAGAAGCUGAAGGUGGGAAGUAGGGAGCUUUCUGUCUAGGAAAGCCUAUGAGUUUUUCCCUAUUUGUCAGAUUAGAGCAGAGAAAACUGUGAGAUUUAGAUGUUUUUAGUGUUCAUGCUUGCCACCUGUUGCCCACAUGGGGCUCAGAUCCAGUCCUCCAGUGACAUCUUUGCUUUCCUGUCUCACUGCAUCUGUGUAUCCUGGGGUCCACAGAGUCAAAGUGUUCAUGAUGUCUAUUGCUUAGACAUCUGAUGCAACAAGAGUAGUUUCCCUAGGCAACUUGAAAACUCACAGAACUCGAUAUGACUGAGCUCAAGCAUUUGGAGCUCCAAUGCAGCAAUAAAGAGCUCCAGCCACAACUAGUGUUGGCAAGGGAACCAAAAAUAGGCCGUGGACCUCCCUGGUGGCUCAGUGGUGAAGAAUCUGCCUGCCAGUGCAUGAGACAACAUGUUUGGUCCCUGGUCCGGGAGGACCCCGAUGCCUCGGAGCAGCUAAACUCAUGUGCCACAACUGCUGAGCCUGUGCUCUAGAGCUUGGGAGCCACAACUACUGAAGCCUGUGAGCUCUAGAGCUUAUGCUCUGCAAUAAGAGAGGCCAUGACAAUGAGAAGCUCGUGCACUGCAACUAGACAGUGGCCUCCCCUCACCUCAACAAGAGAAAAGUCCACACAAAAAGGAAGACUCAGCACAGCCAAAGAAAUUAAAAAAUAAAUAAAUGGUAAAACAAACA
rnacentral:lncRNA from 1 species